CAGUAGCCACGGGAAUACGAAGGGGGCUAGCGUUGUUCGGAUUUACUGGGCGUAAAGGGCGCGUAGGCGGGCUGAUAAGUCAGGGGUGAAAUCCCAAGGCUCAACCUUGGAACUGCCUUUGAUACUGUUUGUCUUGAGUUCGAGAGAGGUAAGUGGAACUGCGAGUGUAGAGGUGAAAUUCGUAGAUAUUCGCAAGAACACCAGUGGCGAAGGCGGCUUACUAGCUCGAAACUGACGCUGAGGCGCGAAAGCGUGGGGAGCAAACAGGAUUAGAUACCCCAGUAGUCCCUGUCUCUUAUAC
rnacentral:rRNA from 1 species